rnacentral:ncRNA from 2 species
GCUAAUAAGAAUACUUUUCCUCAUAUAAUCCCGGUAAUAUGGUCUGGGAGUCUCUACAGGAAAGCCGUAAACUUUCCUACUAUGAGCUGAAGUUUCCUUUUC